rnacentral:lncRNA from 1 species
GCUGAAUAGCUGAGAGGCGCACCCGGGCGGCCAGCUGGGCUCGGAGUGCAGCGGGGUUAGGAUGGACGAGGACGUGUUGCACCCUGAAGAGCCUCAUCAUCGCCUGCUCUUGAGGUUCACAGAUGAUACCUUUGAUCCAGAACUUGCAGCAACAAUAGACAAUGCAGGAAUCACAUGAACCUGUCCAUCCACAGAUAAAGUGGUAAAGAAACUGCCGUAUUAGAUACAUGAUGGUAUACUCUUCAGCCAUAAAGCUUCGGGAAACCCUGUCAUCCGCAACCACGUGGAGAAACCUGUCCAUCCACAGAUGAAGGGAUCAGGAAGCUCUGGUAUAUAUACUGAAGGGAAAUGCUUUUUGGCUACCAAAAUAAUGAAAUUUUGUUGUUUGGAGCAACACAGAUGAACCUGUCCAUCCACAAAUGAAGACAUCAAGAAACUCUAGUAUGUACACAAGGCAAAACACUUCAGCUAUCAAAAUCAUGACAUUAUGUCACUUGGAGCAACACAGUUGACCCGCCAAGGCAGCCUCUUCCUCCAUAGAUGGAUGAACGCUGUGGCCGCUGCUCCUGCCUGGGCCAUGCCCUGAUGCUGCCAACACCACUGCUCCUCUAUUUAUAAGUCUUAGUAGAGUUGCUGACCCAGCAAUAACUGAACAGCUGAUAUGUACCUCACACUAAGCCAGGCGCUUCAUAUGUAUCUAACUUGAAAAAUGCUGAGCUAGUUACCUUAACACCAUUAACUUUUACUUAAAAGUUUGUUUUUCUUUUUUAAUCCCAGUGAGCUCCAAACAAGUUUUAGGAGGCUCCCCAAAACCAGUGAAGACUUUAACUAAAAGUAGAAUUUCAAAGUAUUAGAAACCAAACCCCAAAAUUAAAUGUGAAGAUCAGUGUCUGUACUGAGCUGGCCCAUCUGGUGGACACAGGAUUUGCGUUAUCGACUGCAAUGUUACCCAGGAUUCACGAUUUCUAGCAUCUGUCAGGGUUAAGAAAAUUGGAUUGAGUACCAAAUACAGCAGAGCAAACCCGGCUUUGAGGCAAGGGCCCCAUCAAGUAGUCAUGCAGUACUUUUGUUAGGGUUCUGGGUGCAAAUCUUCCUCGUCCCUCCCACCUUCUCCUGGCCUCCUUGUAAACCCAAACCGCCAGGUACCUCAAUUUUCUUCAAGACCAGGCUGUUCUUAAUGUUGGUAAAUUGGUCAAGGAAAUGGGUGAGCCACUGCUUGCUCUGCACAUCGUCCUCAGAGUGCUCGGUCUUCAGGCAGUACAGCAGCUGCAUGGCUUUGGCCUGCAGGAGUAAGUGGCCCAUUCCUAGGCUGUCCCCAAAGAUGUGUCCUCUGAAGAAGCUGGUCAGGUAGAGGGGGUGUCCACUAUGGUUAUAGAUGGGGAAGGAGAUGCUGCCCAGGUCGAGCGUUUUGUCCACCUGCCAGGUGUACAGGAGUGGGUUGGGGGCACCACGCAGAGCAUCUUGUACCUCGCGCACACCUGCUGGUACUGGAGCUGGCUUGCGUUUCCCUGUGCCACACGCAGAUCCUGCACUGUACUGUCCAGUCAACUGACUUCAGCAAAGAUGUCUGGGUUCAGCAGCGAGUUGCUGUGUGAGGCCACCAGAAUGGAGGUGAUAUCGGCCUCAGUGCUCAUCCUGGAGGUGGAGAAGUGGUCAGAGUCCUCUGUGGUGAAAUGGCCCUACACCAAAGUGGGAGACAUUCAGAAUCGAGGCGAAAUUGGCCUCAGUGCUCCUCUUGGAGGCAGAGAAGCAGUAGGAGUCGGUGGUGAAAUGGCCCUGUGUGAAUGUGGAAGACCAGCAGAUUGGAGGUGGAAUUGGCCUCAGUGCUUGUCCUGGAGGUGGAGAAGCGGUCAGAGUCCUUGGUGGUGAAGUGGCCCUGCACAAAACGUUGCUCCCCCUUGGCCGGUGAAAGAAUAAAAGAAAGCUGGCCACUUGCAUUUCCGUUUCAGUUUAUAGAAUACAUGUUUUGGAAAUAGUAUCUUCUAGAUCUGUCUUUUUCUCUUCUGAUUUAACUUAGUAAAGCUAAGUUUUAUCUCUUCAUAGUCUUGCUUUUGUUUCAAAAGCUUUUAUGAGAUUUGUUUACUGUCUGUGGCUAUAUGGCAGACAAUUUGUUCAAGUGGCAUGCCUCCUCUUUCUCACAUUGACCUCCUCAGGAGGAGUUUUUCAAGGGCAAUGAGUCUUCUCUCUGAGAUAAGAAUAGUAGCCAGAAUUAAGAGGGUAAAGUGCAUUGUGGAAUUAAGUACUGAUUCCAGUGGAAACUCACUUUAUGGCCUUAGACAAAUAUUUACCCUUCUGAUCCUCAGUUUUCUGUCAAAGAACUUCUGCUCAUAUCCAAUUCCUAUAAAGUGGGAGUACUCUAACCUGAUAUUACCAACAUUAGGUUAGAUUUUAUCCUAAUGUUAGGUAUUAGAAUAUAUCCUAACAUUACUAGUUCUUCACUCUUACUAAAGUGCAUGUUAGAUUUCUUCAAUGAUUUUUUUAAAUUGGCAUGGUUGAUACAAAGCAUCCUUCUAUCCAAAUACUGUGCUCAGUCGCCUAAGUGAUAGUUUAGAACCAUACUAUCUCUCUGUGGAAAGAAUGCUGGGGCUCCUGGCUACACACUUUGAGUAGAAGGGAAAAUACCCCUCUUGUAUUUAUGAUGUUUUUUCUUUCUACUUGAUUAAGAAGAAAGUACAAAAAGGUGCUUAUUGAAGCAUUGUCAAUUUGGGAACAAGAUUCUCAGGAAUGAAAUAUUUGUGACUGUUCUCAGCAUGAAAGGUAGAGAGAAGAUUACUUGAUCAUUAUGUGCUUAUUUGAAAGUCACUUUCCUCCCAUGCCUCAACAUCUCACUUUUUAGAAUGCACACUGAAUGCCUGGAAUCUCUUUGUUUUAGAAAAGACAAAGGAUGCAUUGUUAAAAAAAUAAUAUUUCUGGGGAAAAGGCUCAGUGCUCAACGGUUACUCUAUAAAGAGAUUUAAAAAGAAAGUCAAGGGAAGAUAAGGAAGGUAGCAUGGCUAACAACCUCGUGGGUUCUACUAGCAUUAUUUCAUGCAAAAUGUCAUUAACCUUUAUAUAGGAGAGAAUAAGUCUGGGAAUCAACUGGCAUCUAAACUCCAUUUCUUGUUUUGUCACUGCUUCCCUGGUUGACUAUGGAAAAUACAUUUGGUCUUUUGAUACCUUGGUUUCAACAACUAUAACAUGACUUAAGAACUUUUAUGCAUGGACUUUGUAAUAGUUAUCUAUUUCUGCAUACAAAUUACUUCAAAACUUAAAUCGUCGUUUGAAACAACAAACACUAUCUCACAGUUUCUGUGGGUCAGGAGUCCAGACAUGGCUUAUUGGGUAACCGCCUCAAAGUCUUACUAGGCUGUAAUACAGUUAUUGGCUAGAGCUGCUGUUUCAUCUGAAGGUUCAAUUGAGAGAGGAUCCACUUCUAAGCUCACUCACAUGGUUGCUGGCACAAUUCAAUUCCUCUCAGGCUAUUGGAUUAAGGGUCUCAGUUCCCUACUGACUGUUGGUCAGUGAACUUUCCUCAGUUCUUUGCCAUAUGGGGAUCCAUAGAACAGCUCACUACAUGGCAACUGGCUUCUAUCAAAGUGAGCAAUAAGGAAGUAAGCAAGAGAGGUUUGCAAGACAAAAGCUACUAUCUCUUUAUAAUCUAAUCUCAGAAGUAGCAUCAUAUCCCUUCUGCCAUAUUCUGUUCAUUAGAAGUAAAUCUCUGGGUCUAGCCAUACUCUAUUGCAGAGAUCACACAAGGGUGUGAAUACAGACACAGGGAUUGUUGGGGCUCAUCUUAGAGGUCGUCUCCCAUAGAGUUAGCUGCCAAUCUGAGGGGUCACAGGGACCCAUGCAUCUGGGCCAGAACACUGGGAUUUCAUCCCUUAAGCAGGACAACAUUCAUUCAGAAACAUAUAUAUAUGUUUAUAUGUUUCUCACUAAUCAAAGAGAGAAGCAAGGCCUGUCCCUGACGAGCUCCCUUUCUCAGAUCCGCCCUGAACUGCCUAAGUUAAAUCCAUGUACCUUGACUAGGUGAACCAUAGAGUCCAAGCCUAGAGUUGGGUCCUGGGUUUAAUCCUGGUUCUGUCUUAGCCCUAUGACCUUAGGCCACUUCUCUUCGGCUUGGUUUUCUUUGCAUCAGGAAGUGUCGGAUUAGAUCCCAACAAUGGUUCUCAAAUUGGAGUGCCUGUGAAAAUCACCUGGGGUCAUUUGAAAAAUUCCUGAUGCCUAGCACACCCCUGACAAAUUAAAUCAGAAGAUCUGAGGGUGAGAUUCAGGCAAGAGGACUUCUUAACAGCUCCCCAAGUGAUUUCAUUGUUCAGCCAAGGUUGAUAACUACUCAUUUAGAAGAUUGGUAAUCCUAACUCUGGUACAUGGGAACUAUCUGAGGAGCUUUAAAAACAAAUACAGAAGCCAGAAUCUUAGGACAAUUAAAAUAGAAAUCCCUGGGGGUUGGUCCCAGACAUGGUGUCUUUCAAAGCUCCCCAGAUGAUUCUAAUGUGUAGCCAGAUUUGUGGACCCUCAGGUUUAAUGAUCUUCAAGAAUCCUCUAUCUAAGGUUCUAAGCUUGUCCGAAUGGACUUGUAGAGCUAUAAGCACGUGUACCACCUUCUCAGGAAGGUGGCCGCUCCAAUGCUCUCUGACUCUAAAGAAUGAAAUGAUUAUUCCCACCCGAACAUCCAUCUUCUCUGGGUUUACCGUCCCCUACUUACAGUCCGUAAAAAGGUCACCCUAGACUUGACCUCAGUCUCAUUGUGACACACACAGCACGCCAGCGUUCUUAACCUUUUUGGUUACAGAGACCCUUUUAGAAACUUCAUGAAAAUUGUAAGUCAUCUCAUAAGGAGGAUCUUACAUGCACAUCAAAUUGAGCAUACAAUUUUCAUGGAUCCCUAAACUCUUGAUACAAAGUUAAUUCUAUCUCACUAUAAUAUAAAAGUCAAAAACUUACAUAACCCAGAAAAGCAGAAUUUGCAACAUAGUAGAAAUAGACCAGAGUGAAAGUUCUAAUCCUGGUUCCACAACUCACCAGUCAACAUUUAGGAGUCACUGAAUCACUUGAUGCCUCAGUUUACUCAUAUGCCCAAUUAAGAAUUAUAAAAUCAUGCACCACAUAAUGUCUUGGUCAAGUACAGAUCACAUAUGACGAUGGUUUCAUAAGAUAAUACUGUGUUUUUACUGUACCUUUGUCACUGUGUUUAGAUACACAAAUACUUACAUUAUGUUACUAUUGCCUAUGGUAUUGAGUAUAGUAACCUGCUGUACAGAUCUAUAGCCUAGGAGCAAUAGGCUAUACCAUACAGCAUAGGUGUGUCACAGGCUCUCCCACCUUGGUUUGUGUAAGUACACUCUGUGAUGUUUGCACACAACGAAAUCGCCUGAUGACACAAUGCUCAGAAUGUGUCUCCAUCAUUAAGAGAUACAUGACUACCUACCCCAUCAAUCUUGCCUAUUCCAGAAACAAAGUGAAAUUAAUAAUAUAAAAUUGGUUUGAUCAAUUUAUGAAUUACAUUGUCAUUGAAAGUAGGAGAACUAGACCAGGAGGCACUGGUGUGACCCUGGAGUAGAUGGAACUGUUUGUGCAUGUGUCUUUCUUACCUUCCAUUCUCAUAAAGAAUUAGCACAUUCCCCACAUACACCCUGGCCAGACCGUGUCUUUGGGACUGCAGCACUAAGGUGUGUUUUUGUUUGUUAACUUAUUCCCAGUGCCUGUGUUGACCAGGAGGCUUUGGGAAUAAAGGUACAUAAAGGUCUUGGAGCCUGGAUGAGCCUGUGGUCAAGAGAUGGCAGGCAGUGUCCUUGAAUUUGGAAUGUGACUCACACUCUGCCUGUAGGGGAAGAAAAGAGAGAUCAGACUGUUACUGUGUCUAUGUAGAAAGGGAAGACAGAAGAGACUGCAUUUUGAAAAAGACCUGCACUUUAAACAAUUGCUUUGCUGAGAUGUUGUUAAUUUGUAGCUUUGCCCCAGCCACUUUGCCCCAGCCACUUUGACCCAACCUGGAGCUCACAAAAACAUGUGUUGUAUGAAAUCAAGGUUUAAGGAAUCUAGGGCUGUACAGGACGUGCCUUGUUAACAAAAUGUUUACAAGUAGUAUACUUGGUAAAAGUCAUCGCCAUUCUCUAGUCUCAAUAAACCAGGGGAACAAUGCACUGUGGAAAGCCGCAGGGACCUCUGCCCUUGAAAGCGGGAUAUUGUCCAAGGUUUCUCCCCAUGUCAUAGCCUGAAAUAUGGGCUCCUGGGAUGAGAAAGACCUGACCGUCCCCCAGCCUGACACCCUUAAAGGGUCUGUGCUGAGGUGGAUUAGUAAAAGAGGAAAGCCUCUUGCAGUUGAGAUAGAGGAAGGCCACUGUCUCCUGUCUGCCCCUGGGAACUGAAUGUCUCGGUAUAAAACCCGAUUGUACAUUUGUUCAAUUCUGAGAUAGGAGAAAAACCGCCCUAUGGUGGGAGGUGAGACAUGUUUGCAGCAAUGCUGCUUUGUUAUUCUUUACUCCACUGAGAUGUUUGGGUGGAGAGAAACAUAAAUCUGGCUUACGUGCACAUCCAGUCAUAGUACUUUCCCUUGAACUUAAUUAUGACAUAGAUUCUUUUGCUCACAUGUUUUUUGCUGACCUUCUCCUUAUUAUCACCCUGCUCUCCUGCUACAUUCCUUUUUGCUGAAAUAAUGAAAAUAAUAAUCAAUAAAAACUGAGGGAACUCAGAGGCCGGUGCCAGUGCAGGUCCUUGGUGUGCUGUGUGCCGGUCCCCUGGGCCCACUGUUGUUUCUCUAU